ACGAACGCUGGCGGCGUGCCUAAUACCUGCAAGUCGCACGCUUCUUUCCUCCCGAGUGCUUGCACUCAAUUGGAAAGAGGAGUGGCGGACGGGUGAGUAACACGUGGGUAACCUACCCAUCAGAGGGGGAUAACACUUGGAAACAGGUGCUAAUACCGCAUAACAGUUUAUGCCGCAUGGCAUAAGAGUGAAAGGCGCUUUCGGGUGUCGUUGAUGGAUGGACCCGCGGUGCAUUAGCUAGUUGGUGAGGUAACGGCUCACCAAGGCCACGAUGCAUAGCCGACCUGAGAGGGUGAUCGGCCACACUGGGACUGAGACACGGCCCAGACUCCUACGGGAGGCAGCAGUAGGGAAUCUUCGGCAAUGGACGAAAGUCUGACCGAGCAACGCCGCGUGAGUGAAGAAGGUUUUCGGAUCGUAAAACUCUGUUGUUAGAGAAGAACAAGGACGUUAGUAACUGAACGUCCCCUGACGGUAUCUAACCAGAAAGCCACGGCUAACUACGUG
rnacentral:rRNA from 1 species